CCCUACAAAUGAGUGAAACAGCGCCCCCCUGGGCUGUAAUGGCUACUAAAGGGCGCCCAAUGUAUGCGGUCAGACGCGGUGCUGCACCCAGGUUUACCGACGACAACGGGUAACGAUUGUAAAACAAGACUUGGAUGUAUCAGAUGUCCAAAGGGAGCUGUGCUGAGCUGUGAAAUGUCUGGCAGCUGCUCUUGUAGAGACUAAAACCUCCACUAGAUGUCGUCCUAUUCAAGGU